UACGAGGGGGGCAAGCGUUGUUCGGAAUUAUUGGGCGUAAAGGGCGCGUAGGCGGUGCGGUAAGUCACCUGUGAAAUCUCUGGGCUCAACUCAGAGUCUGCAGGCGAAACUGCCGUGCUGGAGUAUGGGAGAGGUGCGUGGAAUUCCCGGUGUAGCGGUGAAAUGCGUAGAUAUCAGGAGGAACACCUAUGGCGAAGGCAGCUCUCUGGUACGAGACUGACGCUGAGACGCGAAAGCAUGGGGAGCGAACAGG
rnacentral:rRNA from 1 species